rnacentral:lncRNA from 1 species
CAAACUGAAAGAUAAUAGGACACAAUAAUUUUUAUACCGGUGAGGUACUUACAUCUAGUUUCCCUUGGGUCACAAGGGACUUCUUAGAUCUUUGAUAAUAGGUUACAAUGAUGAUGGUUUUGGUUCGCUCACCAUCAACAACAUUCAGUGAUAAUGCCUUUUGUAAUGUUGACACAACUUUCUUUUUGUGUUCUAUCUCUUCCUAUCUUUUAUGACACUUGUAGACUCAAGAAUACAAUGUUUGUACUAAGAACUAGAAAGGUUUAGAAUCAGUUUAUGUAGUUGCGCAUCCAAUCCUUGAGUAUGCCACUCUUCUUAUAGACCAGAUUUUAGAGCUGUUGUUGAUUUGUUUUUGAUAUUUGAUUCAUGACUCAUGCCUUUAAUUCCUUCAAGAAGGAUGGGCUGGAUUUAAUAAUCUAGUGUUCCAAGCCGAGAUCUAGAGAGUGCUUCCAUGCUCCAUGCUUUGUCGAAGAAAGGAGUAGAUGGGCUGGAUUAGUUUAUCCAGGGAGUGCUUUCCAUGCUCCAUGCUUUAUUGGGUAGAGGAACAAUACUUCAAGUUGUCUCCCAUUAUAUUAUGUUUCCCUUCCACUUUGAAUCUUCCUUCAUACAUGAUCUGCUAUUUGUAUUUGCAGGUGAGUUAUAUAUAAGGCAAUGGUUCAAAAUACAUAGCCAUUGAGCAGAUCUUCAUUCCUUUUUGGCAAUGCUUGCUUCACCUGAAUCUGCAUACACUAAUAUAACAUUAGUCAAGACUUCUUUAUGGAUAUUUGAUCAUUAUUAAAAUUCUACACUUAACCGUCAUUAGUUUAUCAUUCAUCAGAUGAAGUCAUAAAUUCCUAAUAUAUAGAGGAAAGAAAAUCCCUUGCAAAGGGAGCACUGUUGCAGGCUAAAAACCUUGACUUAAACUGGUGUUUCCGUUGAUGUUUUGAUGUAGAAACUAUAAGCUGAGCACACAAAUGAUAGAAAGGCAUGUAGGAGAGAUAUCUGGUUUGAGUUUGAGAUAAAUGAGGCAACUGCAGUAACUAGUAGCUGAGAUAAGAAUUUAGUUUGAGAAUGUUCAAAUGAAUAACUAGCUAGCUAGUUUCUUGCCACCUAUAACCAAGAUCCUGGAGCAUCUGUUAAGAAGUCAAAGGAGAAAAGCUCCUGGCCUCUGAUACUUUUGCAGCUGUGGCUACUCGUUGCUGCAUUGCUUGACAAUCGAUAAUUGGCUUACUUUUCUAAGAUGCUUCUUACAUCAAGCAACCCAAUCAUUAAACAUAAUGACCAUAAAUAUCUAAAUAACUUGUCCCUAUACGGUUAUCUGUGGGCACUACAAAUGCUAGCUAAACUGAUUUUCUGGCUUUCUACGAUUCUUGUUUUACCACUACAAGUGAUCUUGUUUAGAACCCUUUAUUCUGAUGAGAUAUAAGAGAGCAUCAACUCACUUGUCAAACCAAGAUCUUGCUAAAAGUAGUGGAGAACCCCAGCUAAAACAGUUUUAAGCAUUAUUUUGGCUAUAAUGAACACAUCCAGAGAGGGACAGCGCAUCUGCAAUCAUUCUUCUUUCUCUUAUGGUCACUAUCAUCAAUAUUGUUAUUAAAGGAUGAGUUGUUUCCUUUUUGAAAUAACUCGCUUGUAUAGAUAAGAAAAAUAUAUCUUAAUUAAGCACUAUUAGGGAAAAAAGCACAAGCUAAAACUUACCUUCUGACAGCACAAUAGGAAUAUGCAAAAUUCAAAAGCAACGGCUAUUUUUAUCAUUACCAUUAUGAUGUAGAUUCUGGCAAGUAUUAUUGAGGAAUAUUGGCCCCCUUUAUAGAAUGGUCACGCAUAUAGAAUAAAGGAUGAAACUUUGUCUGAGGUUCAUCUUGUCUGGUUAAAAAUGGUGAUUAGGAUUCCUCCUUAUCAAAUCCUAUGUCAACACUCGAGCUUCUGCGCUUAGGUGGAAUCAGCUACAGUUUCCAUGUCAGCAUUCACGGUCCCAAUAACUGGUCAAGCGACUUCAACUCAUUGUCAAUCUCGGAUUACUCUUGAUUUGCUUCACUAUGAAAACCAUGUUAUGUGUUUGUAUGAGAGGCCUGGAUUUUUUUCUGUGACUCAUCAAUGACCAUAGAUUGUGUAAUAUUCACUCAUUUCUUGCCACUUAUAACUGUGCGGAGAGUUUGUCAAUUCUUGGAUCUUUGCUUGAAAACUCUUACCAAUGCAUAAUAAACUAUCCCUUUAGUAAGGGAGUUCAGAUAUUAGCAUUCUCCUUUUAUGGCUUUUGAACCAAGGAAAAGUUAUAGUAUAACCUUACAAUCCUUUUCCUUUUAUGAAAAGAGAGAGAUCACUAAACUGAUUAUUGUCAAAGAUGGUUAACCUUAUAACUUAUCAUAAAAACAAUUACAGGGCUUCAAAGUCAUAAAGUUCAAAUCUUGUGCCAUGCAUCACAUUCAGAAUCUUCAGAGAAUUGAUGAAAAACAAAGGUAAACGUCGUGUGAUUGUAUACCUUAAUACAUUGUCUCAGGUACCAGUCAAGAAAGAGGUAUUUCUCUUAAAAUUGAUAUAUUAAAUACUGUCAGGAAUAACGCAACUCUCAUGUUUUGUUCCGAAUUAAUGUAUCACCUGUCUGUACCGAUAAAAGCUGUUAACAUUCUUAGCAAUCUAUUUGGUGAAACUAAGGACUGGUCUGAUAAUAUCUAGAGUGCUCUGAUUUCUAACACAUGCAUGACUAAACAGGAGAUGAAAAGAAGUCCACUUUUGAAUUAUUAAGAAGAAUAUUACACAAUAAGAAUAAUAGGACUUGAAUUUGCAUUAUGAGGGAAUUGAUUCCUUGGUGGUAAACUUUGUCACAGUUUUUGCCCCUUUAGAACCUGAACCAUUUUCCACCUGAACGACGUUAGCCUUCGUGUCAGGCAGUUGCUUGCAUUGGCAAUGUGGAUUACACACACUAAUCUAAUGUGUAAGCGUGAGAAUCCAAAUCAUCUCAAGGGUCCAUCUAUCUUAGCAAGAUCACGCGGUAAAAUAACCCCACCUUUCACAUAACAUCUUCCCCUCAUAACACCUACUAGAAAUGGAUACAGAACAAAGAAUAAUAUUUUGAGGAGCUCCUUUUUAGUAGAAUAAUGGACAGUCGAACAGGUAAGGAGGGGCAUUAUUGGACUUCUGCAAGAAAAUAUGCUUCACAUGCAUGAAUAUGACAGUCGACAACUUUAGAGAGCCAUACCUCUACAGUCAAUAAGGAAGGAAAGUAGUUGGUUUAUCCAACUCUUUUUUGGAAAAUUUGCGCUAUCUUGUGGAAUCUCAUUUAAGGAAACUGUUUGAAGUCACAAAACAGAUCAAAAAGUAAACUUUGGGCCCCAAACAAUGAGGUCUUCCAACUAUAUAUACCUCCCCAAACCAUUCAUCAAAAUUACCACUUACAGCAAACCAUUUCUUGAGCUUCAAGUUUACGUCUAGUUGAGAAGUUCAAGUCUUCAAAUUAUCAAGGUGAGGCAUCGAUGAUUUAGUUUCCUUUUGUGGUUCAUUUCAUUAUUCUUCCAGCUUCUACACAAAAAAGGAAGAAAAAUACAAUAACUUUAGUCUUGAGUCCAAGUUUUUCAAACAAACUAGGCCCUUAAAUACAAGAUUAAUGUGCUGCGAAAUUUUUUCCUAGAAUGAAAUAACUGUUCAUGUGUAAGCAAUGCAGUUCUAGCAUAUAGAACUGAGACCUUGUUGACUAUAACCAUGUAUAGAAUGAGGCCUCAAAGAUGGAUAACCAAUAAGAUUUAAUGGCCUAUUUUACUUCCCAUAUGAAAAUUUGUUCUCAUCAUAUUUUCAAGUUCAAUUUCAGGUAGACAUAAAAUGAGCAGUGGAGAUUGGAUGUGUGCUGCAUGCCAACACAUAAAUUUCAAGAAACGGGAUGCAUGCCAACGAUGCAGCUGUCCUAAAUAUGCAACGCCGGCUGAUGUUGCCAUGUAUGGACUAAACAAAGCAGAAGUCUUAGCUGGAGACUGGUAUUGCAGUGCGAUGAACUGUGGUUCUCACAACUAUGCGAGUCGAACAAACUGCUAUAGAUGUGGUGCCUUAAGAAGUGAUUAUUACGCUGUUGGGGCAGGAGUGAUGGCAUCAGCAGGUUAUGGAUAUGAUGCAAGUGCUAUUCCUGGUUGGAAGAGUGGUGAUUGGAUUUGCAGCAGGUCAGUUCAUAUUUACACAUUUCAUUUCCCAUGCAGUUCACUUACUCUAUAACAAUAACUACGCCUCAAUCCCGAGCAAGAUAGGCUUAACUGUAUGAAUCCUAAAGGUUAAUGUCUCUCCUUUUAAUCUCAUCUCUGUCCAAUACUGCAACAACACCAUCACUACUGUCCAAUAUCGCUCUAGUUAAACUCAUCUCAAACCAACAAUAUACAAAAUAAAAUUAAAAAAUACUAGAAGUUUACUAUAUUUUCUACUGGCAUAUAAAUCUCUGAUAAGACUAGGACUCCUAGAAAACAUUGUAUUAUGAGGAAUCAUCACAAGAUUGACUAGUUUUACGCUAACUGUUAGCCUGCCGCAAUUCUCCUCCUUUUACUACUGAUAUGUGCAGGUGACAUACUAUAGUUGGGAUUUUAACUAACAUAACUUCCUUGAUCGACAGAAUUGGAUGUGGUAUGCACAACUAUGCAAGCAGAGAAGAAUGUUAUAAAUGCAAGACACCUAGGGAUUUUUGUGAGACAUCUUCCAUGCGAUUCUGAUACUUCCUAUCAAUAUUUUACUUUCCAACACCAUUGUUUAUUUACUAACAUCUGUUAAUUUCUCUGUUUUUUAGGAGGUGAUCUGAGAGAAAGUGGAUUAUAUUGAGGGAUGCGGCGACAUUAAGUUAUUACUGAAGAUUUACCAGAAAUCAUAACCUUCAAUGACCUUUCUUCUUUUCCUUUUAGUUUUUCUUUUCUUGUUUAGUAGUUUCCUUGUAGUUGCUCAAAGAAGGGUUUGUAAGUCUAACUGCAUUGUAACUUUACAAAGUGUUCAAUGAAUGAAAUCCCUUCAGAUUUCGCAUUCUUUCUGUCUUUCAAGUUUCAACAACUGCAUUUGUAGGGGUGGUCCAAUAAAAUAAUUUUAUGUAUCCAAUGGAAGGAAUUGCUAGCGUAGGCUCGGGCCUUAUAUGUGUAAGAAAAGAAUAAAAGAAAGUAUAUAUAUAAAGAACCAGACCUACUGACUCUAAAUCCUAAAUACAGUGCUGUGGACUGUGGCUAGUGGCUUAGGUGAGUCUUCCCAACUUACUUUAAACAACACUUGUCACACCUCCUUUUUCUCGAUAGGGAUAGGGGAUAGGGGAUAAGGGAGUUUUUUUCAAUUUAAGUGACAUUAUUCGAAUUGAGAUUAUUUUUAUUUUUUUCAAAGUCGUCACUUGGAAUAUUUAGGGUGUUCCAAGUCACCGGUUUAUUUUAAAUCCCAAAUCGAGAAAAUUUGACUCGGUUUAUGUUCCGCAAACACAGAAGACCAGGUAAGGAAUUUUGUUAAUCCGAGAAAAGGUGCCAGACACUCGCGAAUUUCAUGAUUUUAGCACGGUCGCUUUAAUCAUACCUGGUUUAAUUAGAUUGUUUUAUCACGUAUUUUAAAACCUAAGUGCAUUUUACCUUUUACCGCUUUUAAUUAUGGCGUUUAUGGAUUUAAUCUUUGAAACAGACUACAUGUGUGUAAGUCUGCUUCGUUUGGGGCACUAAAAUCAUGUCACGCGAACGUGUACACAAUUAAUUGUGCUUUAUUAAUUUAAGAUUGUUUGGUCGAAGUUGCGCGAACGCAUACCUCGAUUUAAUUUUGGAUAUCGGGAUCACGUCACGCGGACAUGUACGCAUUCACGAUAGUAGUUUAAAAUCCGUGCCUAAAGCAUUUCUACGAGUGUUUAAUUAAGUCAUUUUAUUUACUAAGAUUGUUUGACCAUGAUCACACGAACAUGUACCUUGGUUUGUUUUUGGCAUCACAACUAUGUCACGCGUGCGUGUACAUGAUUGUAAUAAUUAAGUUGAUUAUAAAUACCUUGAGUUAUGCUUAUGUCUCUAAACUAAAUAUUCUAUGUCAUAUGGCUAAGUGUAAAGGUUUAAUACUAGGUGAUAUGUUUGUUUGUAUUAGAUGGGGGCAGCCUAUGUAUUAUCUGUCAAACAGGCCCAGAUUUAAAGUUUGAGGCCCGAUGAGGAUUGAGUCCAAAUGAACUUUAGCCCAAGACAUAUAUUUUCGUUAUUGGGCUUAGCUAAUGGAUUCAGUUCAAAAGGAUUUGGGCUUGUUUGAGUCUAAUUGACUGCCCAAUGCAUAUUUUAAGGCAGCUAAAUGAAUUCAAUCCAAACGAUUUGGGCCUAGUGAUCAUGGAGUCCAAAUGACUCUGGCCCAAUACCAUGUUGUUAAGCAAUCAAUCAAUUAAACACAUUUAAUUCAGAAAGAUCUAGGGCUAAUGAUGAGUCCAAAUGACUGUGACUUAAUGUUCAAUUUUAUAGACAACUAAAUGAAAUUAACUAAAGGCAUUUGGGCUUGGUGAUAAUGAGCCCAUGUGACUUUGGCACAACUCAAUGUUAUUAAGCAUUCAGUCAAUUAAACACAUUUAAUUCAGAAAGAUCUGGGCCUGAUGAUGAGUCCAAAUGACUCUGGCCCAAUGUUCAUUUUUAUGGACAACUAAAUAAAAUUAACUAAAGAUAUUUGGGCCUGGUGAUAAUGAGUCCAUGUGACUCUGGCCCAGUGCAUAAUUGUGUGAAUGAGUUUGAAAUUAAAAUUUAUAACAACAAUUAUCAGAUUUUACUUAUAUUUUGUUUAUCUUUUAAAACAGAAAACUAAAAAGGGUCUGGGGACACGAACCAAAAUUAAAAUUGGAUAAUUUCCUAUUAAUUGCUUAAAUCUCCUAUUUCUUAUAUUAACUUAUGUUAAAGUGAUAAGUUUUAAAACUCAUUUGCAUUUGAAAAUCUUAAAGUGUAAAGGCCUUUAAUCAACUCAUUUUUAUUAGCCAAAGACCCAGAAUACAAUCUUAUGGACCCAAUUGAUUUGGGCCUGAAUUCGUACCUUGAUUACUGUUAGGUUGCUUGUAAAAUCCAGCUUUUUAUGAUUUUAAACUAAUAGCAUUGGAAUUAGUAUAUUUUAAUUGUUUAAUAACAUAGUAAAGCUACUAACUAACGCAUUGCAUGAGAGGAUAUAAUAUAAAACAAAAUUAAAUUAUUACAUCUCACUAACAUGGACAGUGAUAACAAAUCUGUCUACUACUAAUCUAACAAAUUUUCUAGAAAAAAGAAAGAUUUUCUCUUUUUAACUAUUCGAACGUACCAAUCUUAUGACUAUAUGAAGCUUUAAACAGAUUUUAUAAUUUUUUCAGAACCCUUUAAAAUGAAGCUAAUAUAACUUAAAUUGCCUAAAACAGUGUAAAUAAUUAACUCUACAUGCUUUCAUACACAACUCUCAACCAAACAACUUCAAACAAUAUGAUUCAUGCAGUGCUCAGAUGAAGUAGAAAUUCUUGAUAACCAGCAAAAAUAAAACUUUACAUUGUUAAAAGAAAAUACCUUGAUAGCAGCAAGCAAACUACAGAUAAGAAAAUAAGUAUCUGAAAGCUUGAAGUAAAACAGCAGCAAUAAAACCCAAUAGAAUAAGAAGACGACCAGAUUUUUAAAAAUAGGAAAGGAAUGUAUAUUUUUGAUUCUCAAAGAUCAAGGUUGAUUUUCAAAAGUUUUUCUUUUGAAAGAGAGCAAAAUCUUAAGGCAGUCUAUAUGUGUCCAUAAUGUG